UCAGAAUGAAAGCCCAGGCCUAGCUGAGCAGCCCCAUCUCCUUCUCACUCCAGCCUAGAGCAGAGCAUGGCUGUCCUGGUGCUGCUCCUCUGCCUGGUGACCUUUCCAAGCUGUGUCCUGUCCCAGGUGCAGCUGAGGGAGUCAGGACCUGGCCUGGUGCAGCCAUCACAGACCCUGUCUCUCACCUGCACUGUGUCUGGGUUCUCAUUAACCAGCUAUGGUGUGGGCUGGGUCCGCCAGCCUCCAGGAAAGGGGCUUGAGUGGAUGGGAUUAAUAGGUUAUGAUGGGAAAACAUACUAUAAAUCAGCUCUCCAAUCCCGAAUGAGCAUCAGCAGGGACACCUCCAACAGUCAAGUUUUCUUAAAACUGAACAAUGUGCAAACUGAGGACACAGCCAUGUAUUACUGUACCAGACACACAGUGACUGAAAUCCAGUGUGAUCCUGAACAGAAACCUCCCUGCAGAGACACUCAGGACCAGGAUGGGCCGCUGAGGACCAACGGAGACUAUAGGAACAGUAGGAGUUACUUCAGGUCCUAGAAAAUACUGGGCUGUGCUAUAAAACC